GGAUUGGUGGCUCAGGGGUAGAAUUCUUGUCUUCCAUGCAGGAGACCUGGGUUCAAUUCCUGGCCAAUGCA
rfam:Loxodonta africana unplaced genomic scaffold scaffold_7, whole genome shotgun sequence.